rnacentral:rRNA from 1 species
UACGGAGGGUGCGAGCGUUGUCCGGAAUCACUGGGCGUAAAGGGCGCGUAGGCGGCUUGGCAAGUGGAAGGUGAAAUCCCUCGGCUUAACCGAGGAACUGCCCUCCAAACUGCUUUGCUUGAGGCCGGGAGAGGUGAGUGGAAUUCCCAGUGUAGCGGUGAAAUGCGUAGAUAUUGGGAGGAACACCAGUGGCGAAGGCGGCUCACUGGACCGGUUCUGACGCUGAGGCGCGAAAGCGUGGGGAGCGAACAGG